AUUGAACGCUGGCGGCAGGCCUAACACAUGCAAGUCGAGCGGAGCGGCGGACGGGCGCGUAAUGCCUAGGAAUCUGCCUGGUCGUGGGGGAUAACGUCCGGAAAUGGGCGCUAAUACCGCAUACUAUCAGAUUAGCCUAGGUGGGAUUAGCUAGUUGGUGGGGUAAAGGCCUACCAAGGCGACGGACCGUUACUGGUGUGAGAGGAUGAACAGUCACACUGGAACUGGGACACGGUCCAGACUCCAACGAGAGGCAGCAGUGGGGAAUAUUGGACAAUGGGCGAAAGCCUGAUCCAGCCAGGCCGCGUGUGUGAAGAAGGUCUUCGGAUUGUAAAGCACUUUAAGUUGAGAGGCGUUACCAACAGAAUAAACACCGGCUAACUUCGUGCCAGCAGCCGCGGUAAUUC
rnacentral:rRNA from 1 species